GAUGAACGCUAGCGGCAGGCCUAAUACAUGCAAGUCGGACGGGAUUCGGGAGCUUGCUCCUGAUGAGAGUGGCGCACGGGUGCGUAACACGUAUGCAACCUACCCUUACCAGGGGGAUAGCCUCUCGAAAGAGAGAUUAACACCGCAUAAAAUUAGUUUAUGGCAUCAUAAAUUGAUCAAAUAUUUAUAGGGUAAAGAUGGGCAUGCGGAACAUUAGCUAGUUGGUAAGGUAACGGCUUACCAAGGCGACGAUGUUUAGGGGAUCUGAGAGGAUGACCCACCACACUGGUACUGAGACACGGACCAGACUCCUACGGGAGGCAGCAGUAAGGAAUAUUGGUCAAUGGGCGCAAGCCUGAACCAGCCAUGCCGCGUGCAGGAAGACGGCCCUACGGGUUGUAAACUGCUUUUGUACGGGAAUAAACCCUGAUACGUGUAUCAGGCUGAAUGUACCGUAAGAAUAAGGAUCGGCUAACUCCGUGCCAGCCGCCGCCGUAA
rnacentral:rRNA from 1 species